GACGUAGGGCGCGAGCGUUGUCCGGAUUUAUUGGGCGUAAAGAGCUCGUAGGCGGCUUGUCGCGUCGUCCGUGAAAACCUGCGGCUCAACUGCAGGCUGGCGGUCGAUACGGGCAGGCUGGAGUUCGGUAGGGGAGACUGGAAUUCCUGGUGUAGCGGUGAAAUGCGCAGAUAUCAGGAGGAACACCGAUGGCGAAGGCAGGUCUCUGAGCCACUACUGACGCUGAGAAGCGAAAGCAUGGGGAGCGAACAGG
rnacentral:rRNA from 1 species